ensembl:lncRNA
GGAGCACUAGUUAGUGUGCGAGUGUCCCUGGUGCACGAGCAGCUUUCAUUUAGCAGAAACAAUGGCAACACUAAUGGAACAUGAGAGGCCUGAAACAAAGAGCACUUUACACACACAUACAGCAGAGUGUGUGUGUGUGUGUGUGUGUGAGAGAGAGACAGCGCUUCGACUGUGGCGUUUGAUUGAGAAUGUCUGCUCUGCAUUUCGAUGGCAGCCCCAGUGCAUGCUGGGAUUGAUUGAGCUGUCCCGGCGCCCCCCAAACCUGUCAGCCGCUGGAGUUAUGACAUCAUCAGGCCCCUCAUAAGGCUCUCCAUUGUUUUGAAAUGAAAGAACAUCAAUUUCCUGCCCAGUGAAGCCUACGGGAUGAUUUGUGGCUGCUAUUAUCCUGCCAAUGUGUGGCGAGAGCGCAAAAAUACGGACUCUGAGAGAGAGAAGGAGAGAUGAGGAAAGCUGCCGUCCUAUUCUCCGUCUAAUCACCUGAGACAGGUAACACCGCUGCAUACCUGCAACAUCCGCAUAAGCAGCGGCCCCUAAAGCAAUUUAGACUCACAAGACACUUAAUAGUGAAAAUUCUGUCACACUCACUCAACCCGUAUUGACUUCCUCUCUUCUGUGGACUACAAAAACCAGAGAGUUGCAGAGUCAGUGCUUAUUCACAAUGGAGACGGAUGCUGUCGAGCUCUGAAGAGGAUAAAAAACACCAUAAGAAUAUAAUUUAAAUAUUUCAUUUUAGAUUAAAUUAGUACAAAGCCAAUGAAUGCACUUCAGAAUCAUCUAAAAGGAAAUAUAUAUAUAUAUAUUUUUUUUUUUUAUAAAACAAGUUUUUUUAAGCUCACCAAAGCUACAUUUAUUCAAUCAAAAAUACAAAAAUGUGUAAAAAUUUUGAAAUAUUAUUACUAUUUAAAAUAGCCGUUUUCUUUGUAAAUAUCUGUUAAAAUAUAAUUUAUUUCUGUGAUGCGCAGCUGUAUUUUCAGCAUCAUUACUCCAGUCUUCAGCGUCACAUAAUCUUCAGAAAUCAUUCUAAUAUGAUGAUUUGCUGCUCAAGUAACAUUUCUGAUUAUUAUCAAUGAUGAAAACAGUUGCUGCUUCAUAUUUUUGUGGAAUAAAAAUAUAUAAUAUUUUUAAUAUUUAAUAUUU